CUUUUUCCUGCUUCUUUGCAUUUGCAGCAAUUUUUAUUGUGUGCUGGACAUUGUGGAGGCUCUGGAUUAUAUUAUCUAUCUCUAAAGUGCUUUGAUUUUAUUUGAGGCAAUUAAAUUAUCAGUGGAUCAGCUUCCUUCUGUGGAGGCUGGGUUUUAGGGUGAGUCUAUUUCAGUUUUGCCCCUCCUCCUACAGGACAGCAUUUACUCUUGGUGCGUAGACCUUACUCCUAAGUGCCGCCUGAGUUCCCUGCACUCUGGCUGGGCAGCUGUGUGCAGCCGUCGUCAAGGCAGGGUGUGACCUCUGUGCAGGUUUCAGACUCCAGGAGCUGUUCUCUCCCAGAGCAGCUAUCUCACUGGGAGCUGACACAGCUGGGAACUAGCUAAGGCCCCAGGGGGAAUUUCUCAGCUGAUUUUUAGCUCUCGCCUGUGGCUCAUUCCUCUUGAGUACUCUGUCCCUAAAUCCCCACAGCUUUGGCAACUACAAGCUCUGUCCUCUGACUAGUGACAUUAUAUCUCUGCUAUGCCCUUUACUCAUACUGGGUGUGGAAAUGUCCUCUGGAAGAAAGUGAGUGCGGGUGUGGGCCCCAGCUCUUUCUGCAACGAUCGUGGCCAAGUUGUCUGCUUCCAAUACUAGCGAGCAGUUUGUUUUAUCUGUUUUGUCCACAUUAUAUACUUAUUUGUGGAAGAAAGGUUUGAAGCUUUUCAAAAUAAAAAGUUGGAAGAAAUAACGAAACCCUGCCCUCGUGGAGCUCACAUCCUGGUGGUAAAGACACCCCCUACAUGGUUGUGUACCCUAGUUGUCCCAUGAGGCACGCGGCCUCAGCAUGGCUUCACGCGGUGUGUAGGUCCACACCCAGGAUCCGAACCAGCGAACCCCGGGCCCCCGGAGCAGAGUGCGACAGCUUACCCACUAAGCCACAGGGCGGGGCCCUUAAGUUUUAAAAGUAACGAAAAAGAAAUGAUUCUUGAGGGUUUCUCAGUCAUUGCUAAUGGCCAUCAGUAAUCCUUUCGGGAAAGACGUGUAGAUAAAUUCUUUAACGCCUUCUUACCAAGACCGUCAAAACGUAAGACAGAGUUAAAGCCACGUCCACAGGUGGGCACAGCUCGCAGGCGGCCGUCCCCGCGGGCUGCGCCCUCGCCCCAGCCCCUUCCGCGAGGAACUGGACCCCCGCCCCGCCCGCGACGGCCCUGCGGCUCCGCUCCGGGCGCACGGCGAACGCCCGCCGCCCCCAG